GGAAGAAGGUGAAUUCGAGAAUUGCGAAGCUGAGUGCAGACGUCCGAUCCCCGAUCCAUGGCUCCUUUUCUGGCACUUGAGAGAUGUGUGUGUGGUAGACGGUGGCUGUGCGUGGUGGAGAAGCAGGGCACGUGCAUUACCAUCCAAUGCCGCCGGGUGGGUGGGUGGAAUGGAUGGAUGGUUCUUGAUGUGCCCAUCUUCUCCACCGAGCACGAACUGUCUUGGAUCCGCGCGCGCGUGCCGUACAUACCUCGUCAUGCAGGAGUUCAGGUGCUGCCUAAUCCUCGGCGGCCCUCACCGCGCCACCGGCGUCUCGCGUCGUCGCUGCCGAUCGAUCGAUCGUCCAGCCCGCCGCCAGUUGAGUUCCGAACCCCGAUGCUUAUAGCCUCCCAUCCCUGGUUAGCAAGCAUCGUGUGUAUCUUGCAUCUCAGACUUGCUUCCUCUUCAUCAUUCAUUCAUUCAUACUCAAGCAUUAAUUAUUCAGGACCAAGCAAGCGGUAGAAUUCAAAUUCAAUUCGCACAACCCUUUGCUUGUCAGCUAGCUUACCUUGUGUAUUGGAUUUGAAUACAUGCUGGUAAUCCAUCUAAUAAGAAAGCGCUGUGUGGCGCUACCUGUCCGUAGUAUGGCCGCGCCGACUGUCUGUCGGCUGGCAUGGCAUGAUAUACAUUCUAGUUAUCUUGAACCAAAGGCGACUGUCCGUAGAGUUGCUUGCUCUUGCUUCAGCAGGUGGGAAUGGCGCCGUGCACUUGGGUUCGCCUGUCUCAGUUACCAGAGGAGCCUAAUCCCAUCGUCGCUCGUACGUCGCUCGGAUGUCGGCAUCAACGACCAGCGCGGCAGCCAGCAUGCACAGGCGCGCCGAGAAUGAUCAGGGGGUGCCGUCUCUAUCCUUCAUUCAGCGAUUCGCUUUCUGAAAAGAACAUUGCACAAAAACAGCAAGAUGGCUCUGGGUGCGGAUGAAUGCUAGCUCCAUGUUCCGUCACUUUUUGUUUGUGCGGUUCUUCACUGACUUUGAGUCUAGUCUUGGCGUUCUAACUAAAGACCGUCAUGUUGCGAGUAUACAUGCAGGUGUUAGAGUAGCCGUUCCUCGUGCAUGCCUUGCAUAUUGCUCAUCAUAUUAAUAAUGAUCUGUCGUCACCCAUCUUCAUCUCAACUGUAGAAGAUGCGAGCUGAGAUCGGCCAUGGAUCCUGCAUAUUAUUCAUCCAGGGCCAAAUUUUCUUGUUCUCUGUGUGGGUUUCGUUUUUUUUUCAUGUGAAUGAAAUCCCUUAUUUCAUGAAGCAA